AUUUCAAUCUUCUAAAUGUUUAUUUUGUUUUGAUUUUUUGUGUGUGAUGAACCGAAACCAUUCAUUAUAGAAGGCCUCAAAAUUGACCAGCAAGGUUGCAACCUGUGGGCAAUUUAGACCAAUCGCUCAUUGUAACAUCAUACAGAGCCAUUGGUCUUCACUGCCCACAAGUUGUGAUGUUCUAGUAAGUGUUCAGGCCUUCUAUGAUGAUUGGUCUCAGAUGAACACAAACAAAACCAAUGAAAACUUGUCCAAUGUUUGAUGUCAACAAAAGAUCAACAUUGAAAAAAUGAACUUUGACCCCACCAAGUUCUUUUAUUUUUUUU